AAGGAGCACAUAGCCGACUGCAAGCAAAUGUCUUGCACGGUUGCUCAUGGGUGGAACGUUGACUACUCGGCCGGAUUAUUCGGGUCGGGGGCUUGCCAGUACUGCUCUUCGGAGUGUGGAACGCAUGAUCCUCGGACGGGUUCUGGUCGGGCACGCUGUUGGGUGUCUGAGGGAAUGAUCUUCCUUCAGUUACCGGCCCCGGUAAAGCAUCGACGUAAGUUGGUGUGUGACGGGUGGCUGGUCGUUG
rnacentral:misc_RNA from 1 species